rnacentral:rRNA from 1 species
AUUGAACGCUGGCUGCAGGCUUAACACAUGCAAGUCGAACGAGUGGCGGACGGGUGAGUAAUGCUUGGGAAUCUGGCUUAUGGAGGGGGAUAACGACGGUAAACUUUCGCUAAUACCGCGUACCAUAGGAUGAGCCCAGGUGGGAUUAGGUAGUUGGUGGGGGAAUGGCCUACCAAGCCGACGAGCUGUAGGUGGUCUGAGAGGAUGACGAGUCAAACAGGGAGUGAGACACGGACCGGACUCCCACGAGAGGCAACAGUGGGGAAAAUUGCGCAAUGGGGGCAAACGGACGCAGCUAUGCCGGGUGAAUGAAGAAGGCCUUGGGGUUGGAAAGAGCUUUCGGUGAAGAGGCGUUAAUCACAGAAGAAGAACAGGCGAACUCCGUGCCAGCAGCCGCGGUAAUUC